AGGAAAGCGGCUUCAGUUUUAAUGCAGCUCUGAGCCGAAAUGCAAACAUGCCUGCGAGAAACAGGCAGAAGUUUUUCCACCCCAAGCUCAACAGAACGGAGCGUGCUCUGCAGGGCCCGCAGCGUGUGCACCUUCUCGUUGAUGACCGGGUUCUUGUUGCGCCGGAUGAACGACUUCCUGAAGUGGUCCUGCGUGAACGGCUGCUCAUGGCCAAUCAGAGAAACGCCUCCUUCCUUCAGGAGAAAGAGAAUCAAUUAAGGCCAACAGCAGGGGGCAGUGUGCGUCUGCACCCAAAACAAUAUGAUCAAACGCUGCUGUGAGUGAAUAAAAUAAGCUUACUUGCUCAGGUCGGAGGCGGAGUCAACGGCGAAGAAGAAGUUCUGAAAUUUCUGAUGGGUCAUUUGGAAAACGCUGCAGAACAAAGAUGAAACACACAAAUCCUAAUUAUUUUCCUCUAGCCAGCCGUCACAGUCGGGAUGAUCCAAAUCCCGGCAGGAGACUCGGCGCCGGCUCAGAGCUGUCGACAUUCCUGGGAAUCCACCACAAAUGCAACAGGAAAAAUGAGAGUUAAAACGGAGGCUUCUUGGAUGCAGAGCAGGAUCAAAGUAGGAAGUUCAAACCGUCUCUGCUCAGCUUUCUAACCAUGAGACCAGGCAGAGGUUUAAAGAAGAGUGGCAAAAGCAAAUGAGGUGGAUUAGCAGAGUUUGUCAACAACUGGUGGUGUUGCUGUGACAUAUCAUCUGUGCUGCUGUUAGCAUGUCAUCACAGUCAUGAAAAGACAUUCGUACAGCAACAGUCUUCAGUCAGAGGCCAAGACUGACUGCUACUGGAGCUCCUGUAUGACCACAGCAUCAAAAUCCACGACUCUUUGAAGAUUUAAAUAUGAAUUAUGAUGAUAUUUAAUUUCUCUU